AAAGUCCCCUUCGGGGGGCGAGUAGAGUGGCGCACGGGUGAGUAACACGUAGGUAAUCUACCUUUGGAUUGGGAAUAACCACCGGAAACGGUGGCUAAUACCGAAUAAUGCAGCGGCACCUAAUGGUGACAGUUGUUAAAGCGGGGGAUCGCAAGACCUCGCGUCUGAAGAGGAGCCUGCGGCAGAUUAGCUAGUUGGUAAGGUAACGGCUUACCAAGGCGAUGAUCUGUAGCCGGCCUGAGAGGGCGGUCGGCCACACUGACACUGACAUACGGGUCAGACUCCUACGGGAGGCAGCAGUCGGGAAUUUUGGGCAAUGGGCGAAAGCCUGACCCAGCAACGCCGCGUGAAGGAUGAAAUCCUUCGGGAUGUAAACUUCGCAAGAACAGGAAGAAUAAGUAAGAGUUAAUAUCUCUUACGAUGACGGUACUGUUUGUAAGCUCCGGCUAACUCCGUGCCAGCAGCCGCGGUAAUACGGGGGGAGCAAGCGUUGUUCGGAUUUACUGGGCGUAAAGGGCGCGUAGGCGGCCACCGCAAGUCGAUUGUGAAAUCUCCGGGCUUAACCCGGAAAGGUCAACCGAUACUGCGGGGCUAGAGUGCAGAAGGGGCAACUGGAAUUCUCGGUGUAGCGGUGAAAUGCGUAGAUAUCGAGAGGAACACCUGCGGCGAAGGCGGGUUGCUGGGCUGACACUGACGCUGAGGCGCGAAAGCUAGGGGAGCGAACGGGAUUAGAUACCCCGGUAGUCCUAGCCUUAAACGAUGAAUGCUUGGUGUCUGGGGUUUUAUAGUCCCCGGGUGCCGUCGCUAACGCUUUAAGCAUUCCGCCUGGGGGAGUACGGUCGCAAGACUG
rnacentral:rRNA from 1 species